AGUGAACGCUGGCGGUAGGCCUAACACAUGCAAGUCGAACGGCAGCACAGUAAGAGCUUGCUCUUACGGGUGGCGAGUGGCGGACGGGUGAGGAAUACAUCGGAAUCUACUUUUUCGUGGGGGAUAACGUAGGGAAACUUACGCUAAUACCGCAUACGACCUACGGGUGAAAGCAGGGGAUCUUCGGACCUUGCGCGAUUGAAUGAGCCGAUGUCGGAUUAGCUAGUUGGCGGGGUAAAGGCCCACCAAGGCGACGAUCCGUAGCUGGUCUGAGAGGAUGAUCAGCAACACUGGAACUGAGACACGGUCCAGACCCCUACGGGAGGCAGCAGUGGGGAAUAUUGGACAAUGGGCGCAAGCCUGAUCCAGCCAUACCGCGUGGGUGAAGAAGGCCUUCGGGUUGUAAAGCCCUUUUGUUGGGAAAGAAAAGCAGCAGGUUAAUACCCCGCUGUUCUGACGGUACCCAAAGAAUAAGCACCGGCUAACUUCGUG
rnacentral:rRNA from 1 species